GGGUCAGUAGGUUGGUCGUGCCACCGGUACGUACUGGUCUCACUGACUCCUCCUUCCUGAAGAACCGUAAUGCCAUUAAUUUGGUGUUGCGGGGAAACAGGACUGUUACUUUGAAAAAAUUAGAGUGUUUAAAGCAAGCUAACGCUUGAAUACAUCAGCAUGGAAUAAUGAAAUAGGACGAUCGAUCCUAUUUUGUUGGUUUCUAGGAUUGACGUA
rnacentral:rRNA from 1 species